rnacentral:lncRNA from 1 species
CCUCUUCAGACUUUGCUUCUUCUGCUUUUAUGUUGAUCCCCUUACAAGUUUUUCUAGUAGAUUGGAAGCAUAUAAUGUAUGUUUGAAUGGAUUCUUAAUGGAUUUGGAAACACUGCUUCCAGGGAACAAGCAUCAGCACCCAAAAUUAGUCUGUGGUGCUAUAGUAAUUUUCCUUCUCCGGAACUCCUUUUUUUUCUUCCUGUAAUCUCUACAUUUGCUUCUUUGUGUUUGCUUUUCACUGUCUCAGCUUUUUCCCAGAUUCCUUUCUGCUUCUGGUCCUCUCCUUUGUAGCAGUUUUCAUUUGUUGCACGCCAGCGCAUUAAGGACUAGCACAGUCUGGUUAAAAUCAGUUACGUGCAAGGAGCAGAACUUUGCACAGCCAAUUUCAGCGCCCAUCGCAGUCACCGGGAAAACAACCAUUUACCUCACUGGGAGCCAAAUGAAGCAGAACAGGGCUGCAGAGCUCAACCACAGCAGCAGAGAGGGCUGGAGAGGAGGAUGGCUCUCCCGGUUCCUGCCAGAUCAGACAACCAGCAGCAGGCAGGGGGGUGAGCAGCAAGAAGUGUAACAGAAGUUGUUACUGGGAGGACAUCGCGUCUCACAAGCAGCAUUCUGAGUUUCAGCAAGUCACCUUGAAAGAGAACCGGAAACCUCACUGCCAGAUAAACAAGCACAUUCCUAAUGAUCACCAGCUCUCCUGAAUUGUUUCUUUCUUGUCUUGCCUCAAAGUAUUUUAGCUGGCACAACAGGUUUAACUCUGCAGUCUUUACGCUUGAAAAUGUGACAAAUUUUCUGGUUCGUUCUAAUCAGCACAACUUUUAACAUGUGAAAAGGAACGAAUAUUCAUUCCGGCCUCACCCCCCUCUGUCCAAAGCACCGCUGGAGAGGAGCAAUGCCUCUGGUUCUUCUCCACACGCUGGAAUUUUGCAUUUCUAUGUCAGCAAGGCUUCCAGCCCCAAGCCGCACAGGCUGCGGUUAGCCCGGAGCGCCGCAGAUCAUCUUUCACAGGCAGGUUGCAACUGCAACCUUCUGCUCCCAUUCUGCCAUCCACCUAUCUUCUGCAUCAAUGUUACUUGAGAUUUACGUUUUUACGUUGACUUUAAGCUUCUACCUUAGUUGCGGGGCUUUUUGUUUGUUUCUUUGUUCUUUGUUUAGAAGAUACUAUUUUCCCUGGUGUUCAUUACAGUUGGCUUUGGGUAUAUCGGGAGCUUAGUCAGCAGUUAGAGCAGCGAGAGGCCAGGACUUGUUUUUCUUCUUUUUAUCCCUUUCAUCCAGUGGAAAAAGUUUCCCGCUGCUCUGCCUACUGAUAUUCGAUAUUCUGUCUCCGACGGCUGUACAUCUUUAAGUUUUAAAGAACAGCACAUCAGAGAGCUCUGUUAAUUAUCACUCAUUUUGAGUUGUUGUUGGGUUGUUUUGUCUUUUUUCGCCUGCAUUUUGGAGGUGAUGCUUCUCAGGGGAAUGUUUUUUCCUGAUCCAAUUCAUAUUUGUAUAAUAACAAAGCACUUUCUCAUAUUUCUCAUGUUUCGUAACAGCGUAUUUAAUCUGCAGAAUUAAAAGAAUGCUUGCAAUAAGCAAAGCAGCAAAGCAGCAGCUUUUGCAGAAUGUAUUUUACAAGUAAUAUUGCAACACAAAAAAAAGUAGAGAGAUCUGGGGAGUUUCUCUUGGAAUAGUUUACAUUCUAAUAGAUUUUCCUGGUAGGUAUCUUCCUGCCUAUGCUUUAUGAGCAUCUUUCUGGAAACAACAUCAAAUACCUACAUUGGAAAGGAUCCAGUGGGAAGCCGUUACUGUGCAGUUAUUGAUCAUUUAAUCAGACAUACUACUUACGGCCAUUUUAUGAUGAGUAAAUUGCAAAAACAGUUCCAAAAUCUUAUUCUAGCACGACUGUUAAAGUCCCUGGUUAUCUUUACAACUGUUUCCCACUGUCUUUUGAAACAGGAAGCCUUAAUCGGUAGAAAAACACAAGUAUACACAAGCAGAAAUACUGAAGGAGUGAUUGCAAGGUAGGUUGGCCAAUCCUGCAAUCACAUGGAUUAACUGCCCAGAAUUUAGAUAUGUAUGCAACAUCCUUCAUAGAUCCCUCGCAGUGGAAAAGCAGAAUUCAUGAGACAGCUCUUCUGUGGCAGUCAGUUAUAGUUCAGUAAAUCAUUGUCUUGCUUUACUUCGCUCAAUUUAAUUGCACAAAAUCAUUGGCUCGAGGUCAACUUCUAUGUGAUCCCUUAGUGCUCCCACAACAGCUCUGCCUCAGCCACAGCCUGUCUUAGAGCCAGAACCACACAUGGACCUGUAAGGAGGAAAGUGGAAUAAGCCCAAAUGUCUGAACUUUCAGAACCCUUAUAAGCAAUUAACUUUAAAACACUGAUGAAUUUGACGUCACAACAUAUUUGUAGUUCUGGUGGCUUUGUUGUUGUCGUUUUGUUUGUUGUUGUUGUUUUCUUCUUCUUUUCAUCUACUGUAACUGUCAUGGUAUUUAAGGAAAAGUUCUUCUAAGUCUUGUGUGUACAUGAGAGUUGGUGCCAGAAACCAAACAUCUGGCAGAAAAUAUUUGCUCCUACAAUAACAUUUCCUCUGCUUACUUUUUUAUAAAGCAAACUUUAAUUGUUUCCAGAAAUAUUAUGUGUUUCUGCUCUUCUCUGAUAUAUCUUAACUUUUCUUUCCUUUGGAAAAAAAAAAAAAAAAAACCAAAAACCAAAACACACACAAAAGAAAAACUCCCAAAAAGGCAGAGAGAAAACCUUCGUGGUGUUUUUCAGCAUUCCUUCCUCAGCCUGCUGUUCGAAUCUGAUUGUAAUAAUUCACUCGAUGUUUUCAUAAAAAGACCGAGGCUUCUUUCACAAAGAAAAGCUCAUAAUUAAAAGGUUGUACCUUGCAAAGGAGUUUGGCAAAAUCUGAAUUUCAUAGCGGAAGGAUCACAGAGCAGAACACAAAAAGAAGAACAAAGCACAUUUUUGAUGUAUUUACUGAAAGUUGCA